rnacentral:tRNA from 1 species
UCCCUGGUGGUCCAGUGGGUAGGACUCCACACUUUCACUGUUGCAAGCCUGGGUUCAAUCCCUGGUCAGAGAA